AUUGAACGCUGGCGGCAUGCCUAAUACAUGCCAGUCGAGCGGAUGAAGGGAGCGUUCGCCUGGAUGCAGCUGCCGACGGGCGGGUAAUGCCUAGGAAGCUACCUGGCAUUUGGGGAUAACGUCCCUAAGCGGGCGCUAAGACCGUAUAGGUCCUUAUAUAGAAAGGGGUGGAUCUUCGGAGCUCGCGCGAUCAGAUGACCCUAGGCCGUAUUAGCUAGUUGGUGAGGUAAGGGCCUACCAAGGCGACGAUCCGUAGCUGGUCUGAGAGGAUGAUCAGUCACACUGGAACUGAGACACGGUCCAGACUCCUACGGGAGGCAGCAGUAGGGAAUCUUGGACAAUGGGCGAAAGCCUGAUCGAGCAACGCCGCGUGUGUGAAGAAGGUCUUCGGAUUGUAAAGCACUUUAAGUUGGGAGGAAGAAAAGUGAGUUAAUCCAUUCCUGUUUUGACGUUACCAAAAGAGUAAGCCACGGCUAACUUCGUG
rnacentral:rRNA from 1 species